CCAAUAGCGUAUAUUAAAGUUGUUGCAGUUAAAAAGCUCGUAGUUGAAUUUCGAGAUUGGCGCAUCGGUCGUGCCUCACGGGGUAUGAACUGGUGCAGUCAAUUUCUCACCUUCUGGAGAACCGCGAUGUCCUUAAUUGGAUGCCGCGGGGAACCAGGACCUUUACUUUGAAAAAAUUAGAGUGUUUAAAGCAGGCAUUUUUGCUUGAAUACAUUAGCAUGGAAUAAUAAAAUAGGACGGCAUGGUUCUAUUUUGUUGGUUUCUAGGACCACCGUAAUGAUUAAUAGGGAUAGUUGGGGGCAUUAGUAUUCAAUUGUCAGAGGUGAAAUUCUUGGAUUUAUUGAAGACUAACUACUGCGAAAGCAUUUGCCAAGGAUGUUUUCAUUAAUCAAGAACGAAAGUUAGGGGAUCGAAGACGAUCAGAUACCGUCGUAGUCUUAACCAUAAACUAUGCCGACUAGGAAUCAGACGAUGUUAAUUUUUUAAUGACUCGUUUGGCACCUUACG
rnacentral:rRNA from 1 species